rnacentral:rRNA from 1 species
UACGUGUAACAUGCUCUGGCGCUCUCCGGAGUACAAGUAUAAUAGUGGUAGGCCAUGGACCGACUUAGUGUACCCUUUGACGAAUACCACUCCGUGCGCUACCUUGCAGGAUCGCUGGAAACACCAAAAUGAGCAUUCCACCUCCACAAACUCCGCCUGCAAUCACGUUUGUGCACCCACGGGUACAGUUGACCCGAUGUACCGGUACGUGGGAAAGAGUCGUUUGUGACAUCAUUCAGACAAAAACAUCCACUGCUCUAACUUCCCCUACGAUAAAUAAAAUAACUUAUACGACUUCACAAGUUGUACUCUAAGUUCUGACGUUCGGGGGGUUGAUGUCUAAAGCUAAAACAACGUUACACCGAGAAAAUAGGACUGCGGUAGCUUUCUAGGCGCCUCCUCCACGUACCGUGCAGCCUCUUCUCCUCAGCUAAGCGGCGAAUGGAGCAGCAACUUCACCUAGGUGUGGCCUCCUUUUCGAGCUCUCCCCCCUUUACCACCGCCCUCAAAAAGCUAGGCGCCGCCAGUGGAACCUAUAUAUUCCGCUGGCUUAGGCGUCCGCCACUGAACUUAAGCAGGGCGACGAAAAAACCUCUACGCGGUAGCGAGGGCGGUACAGUGACCGGCGUCGACGUGCUGCGCUACAAGGGGAGGGGAGGGGACGCAAAUACCUAAGCCGGCAAGGAUUGCCUGGGCCAACUCGUGACGAGACGAAAUUCUAGAGGAUGGUGGUACCGGCAGCCGAGGAGGAAGGUUCGGGGGUACCUUCGUUUGGGAUCGGAUCGGCGGAGAGAGAGGACGAGGACGAGGACAGGAGGAGUCUAGAGGAUGGUGGUACCGGAGCAAGAAGGAAGUUGGGGGGACGCUGGAAGGUACCGCUGUACCUAGAUCGGUCGGCCCAACUCCGGCGACCGGCCUGCCGUCGUUGCACGCAGCCAUGCCACCGUUGGCCCGGCGAGGGCCUCUGGCGGCCGCACACUUUGGCGAACAAGCAGACUACCAAUACAGGGUGAUGAGGCCGCUCUACCUAAACGAACACAAAAUCUCCGGCAUACGACGACGUAAACAACGUGUGAACACUUCCGAAGGUUGAGCCAAAAAAAGACUACGUAUUCGUUGAAGGAACUAGGACCAUACUUCCACAUGUUUAGAACGGGUACUUGGGUCAGAAGAACUUCGUUCGGCCCGUACGUGUUACGUAGAACAAACCAACCACGGACUCACCAUAAACCUGGUCGGACUGGACUCGACAGGUGGCUUUAGUCUCCGGACUGAGUCCGUCUUCGUUAGUCCACGCAGGUACGAACAUGAGAUGCGACGAACUAUAAUAAAAUUAUAAAGAAUCUGUGUCUCUUUCGGGUCCGUGAACUGGUUUGUUGUAUAUAGAGCCGACGGACCGGUCCGGUUUCAGUGCACUCGGCGACGCUGGACAGUGACUGUCCCGUCACGUAUUACUAGAAUCGUAGCUGGUCAUUCGAAUGGUCGCCACGUUUCGAUUCGUAAUGAUUGUACCGAUUUAUUUGAACCUCUCUACUUGUCUUUCGUUUUUGACUGUUAAGAUUAACCGUAGAACAAAAUACUAUUUACACUACGUCGACGAGUGUUGCCUGGUACACACGGUAGGCAUCGUGGUUCAACGAGUUAAGGAAUGACCUGAUUCUAAUCUCGACAAGCAUUCGUUGGAGAUUCCUAGGUGGUCGUGUGCCAAAUGUUUUGCAAUAGUACGUCUACGUCUAAUUGUUUCAUCUUUUAUCAAGUAACUUAUAAGUUUUAACGACUAUUUCUGUAAGACAACAUACGACCAUCGUUAGAGGUUGCCAACUGCGGAAGUAGGACGUUGGUGUUUCUCUUAUGUCAAAAUGAAAAUCCUUUUUAAGAACAGUUAUGACUUCAAGUAAUUGGUCUAUCUACUAUUCAUGUCAUUCUACACGUCGUCGUCAACAACACGUGGUGUGGUAACGUAUUUCAUUCUGGUUCAAACAAAUAUGGGUCGAACAUCAAUAUUAAUAUCCAAAAUAGACGCGGAUGAGUAAAGUUCACGUUGGCGAUCACUGAUGAUACUAAGACGAGGAUAAAGGUCAUAAGGUUACUCCGUUAUGGGACAAGUUCGAUUAAUAUGUUUUCGCACGUAGAUUGUAUAAGUAGGCAAAAAAGUCUUAUUACGUUUGGAUUAGUAGGGAAACGAACACAAAAAAGUUCAGACGAGUAUUAAAUCCCUACGUGUGUACCUCGCCAAGUGCACACAGGGACGUCACAACGUCGACCCCGCAGGGUUCCAGGUAUCGAUCCGGGUGGUUUUCUUACCUCGCACACGUAUCGUUACAGGUCGUCGUGUCCUACUUGACGAUACGUUGUGUGGUGAUGUGUUCCUUGCCUCCCUCAUACUACGUACUGUCGAAAGACGUCGUUACGAAGUUCCUCUUAACCGCACAUUCCGCUCCCUACCAAGUAUUAGAUCGUGAGGACAACAGUCCGGUCCAACUCCCUUGUUCCUUCAUAGUAGUAGUACUCACACGGUACUCGUCGAUGAGUGGUCACGAGGCUAAGAAUCCGGGAACUGGGAUUAGGGUUACGACCGCUCGAGUAACGCAGACAGACUUGGACCGAAGUCUAGUUCUGACAUAUCCCCUAAAAAAAGAAAAUUUUACCAAAAAAAAAUACAAACAUUUAGAACAUUAAAAGUAAAAUAAAAAACGUGAGACAUGAAUGCAUACGACUACGUGCACACUAAGGUAGACCCCGUAGCCGUGCCCAUGGGACGUCUGCCCCGUUAACCUGAACUCCACAAGGGUAUCGACAGAGCGGACAAGAGAGAACAGGUACAUACGUCGGAGACGGGACGUCUCUCUUAAACAUGCCAAUGGUUCUGCGUGACGUAAGUAAGUAGUCCUUUGAACUUAGGUAUAUAAUUGCUGUUUAUGAACUGUACUGUCUACUUCGAACAAGAAAGAACUAUUAGUAAGUGGUCCUACGUUGUUUAGGUAGAACAAUUAGUA